CCCCCCCCGGGAGCAAUAGGUAGUUUGCAAACUGUAGCAGUCCGAUGGGUUGAGCCAAACGGUCCCGAUAAACGCGCAGUCGCGUUAGGAAGAAGUAAAUCAGCGUUGAUACGGGAGAGGCGAGGUCAGGCGUCUUCUGUUUUGGAACAGCAAGUGCCUUGCUGUGCGUUUGCACUCAUCACCGUUCCCAAGGCUUUGCCGGUUUUGCAACAUUGCAGUUUACCUGAGACAGGUCAAGCUGACCUGCCUAUCGUUUUUUUUUUUUUUAAUCACUAUAGCGACAAAUAUGAAAACAGUCCUAACAUUUUGGGGACUGUGACUGUAGGAGAUACUGAGGGCAGCACCCUUUUCAGGGCAAGCACGAGAGUCUGGUGGGUAGUAAGGAGUCCCAUAUACAUCUGAUAAAUAUAAAAGCCAUCUUCAUAGAUGUAACCGUUUGCUGUGAGCACUAGUGCUUUUCCAGAAAGAAAAGCUAAAAGCAUUUUAUACCAAAAGGAAACUCUUACCGUUUAUGUGUUUGGAAAUUUUUUGCUGGAACUAUCCUCAUAUCAAAAAAGAUAAGAUUUUUCUGUUCAUUUAUAAGAAGAAAAAUUGAUAAAAUACAUUUAGGAAGAAAAUUGCUAUUUUGUUUUAUCUAGUGGCGCCAUUAUUGGAAACUUCAGUGUGCAACAUGUAGAGUACAGGCCUGCACUGCUCCAGAGUACUGAGUCUUUAAAACUUUUAGCCACAGAACUUGUAAGAUGGUUCAAAUGGCCCAUUUUUUAAGGUGUUUUAAGUAGUGCCUCACUGAUUUGAGUUAUGACUUUCUUGACUUUGUUUGUAGUUGCUAAGAAUGUCCUUGGCAAAACAUGCACACAAUUUAUAUUUCAUCCAAUUUUGAAAUGUAUUUUGGAAUCAGAAUAAUAAAAGUAAUAUUAAUCAGUUUCUCCCACUGUAAUUUCAACAACUUAGUUGUUUUUUUUCAGUCUUGCUUUUCUUUCUACUUUGUUGUUUUUUCACUGUUCGUUAUUUUUUCUUCCAUUUGUCUUCAGUCUACUUACCCUUUAUUCCUUUGCCUCUGUCAUCUUUAUACCUUUAUUUUUUGUAUUCCUGCCUGUUUCCUUUUUUACUUUGUGUUUGUAUCUACUUAUUUCAAGCUUCCUUUUAAGGUUCAAGCUUGUAGGAUAGUUGUGAAAGGGUUUUUUUUUUUUUUUGGUCUGGAGAUUGAGUUUCUACUUUAUUUAUACAUAAGAUAAUCCAGAGUAAUUCUGGAAAACAAAACUGGUAAAGAUUUUAAAAAAAUACUAAAAAACAUGUUUCUGUAUUUUCUUGAAUAUAUCUUUAUAGCCGUUGGUGAUUUCUCUAUUGCUCUUAAUAUGCUAGUCAGGUUUUCCUUGCUAAAACACCUUACGACCCCUGAGGGAUGAGUCUACACUUUCAAAACAAAGCAAAACUUGAUAAACAAAAAUAAGACUUACUAUUGUAAGGAUUUUGCAAACAAAACUAUGAAUUCGUUGUCAGUUACAGCAUUCUGGAAAUUGAGUUAUCUUCAAUUAUAUAAGCAGAAAUGAACCAGAGUUUUCAGUUUAUUAUACAGGAAUGUAACAAGGUUUUUGUAGUUGAAGAAUUAUCUGCUAUACACUUCAUAUCAGUUUGCAGCUGAGUCAGCACAGUAGACUCACCCCUCGCUCUAACAUGGCCUACCCAUUCUCAGCCUGUGAGCAAUUUCUUUUUAAAUCAGAUUAGUUGUUUUCAUGUUUAGAAAAAGAAGUAGUUGGCAAGUGUCUGUGCUCUUUCUUUGGUCAUGUUUUAGCAAAUAAAUGGCCUUUUAAAUACAAUAUGGGAAGUUCUUAUUUCAUACUCUUUCUUCCUACAAACAUAAACAAACCUUGUGGAAUACUGUAAAACUAUCUGUACCACAUGCACAGUAGAAUAAUUUAUGUUUAUAGUUUGCAUUGAAAAGUUAUGUGCACAAUAACACUCUAAAAGUCAAGUCCAUCCACAUGGUUUUGAGAUGAUGCUUCCUAAAUUGCCCAAAGGACUUAUAAUGGAAUAUGUAAUAUAUUAUGUCAAACCAAUCUGUAUUAAUAACUCCAUAACCUUCAUUUUGUUGGUGCCUUGUAAGAAUAUUAUAAAAAUCCUUAAACAGUAAUGUGUAUCUGGUGAAAUCCCAGAUACUGUCAAGAGGCUGAGGAAGGGUCAUAGUGCAGAGCAGUAACAGGGACUGGAGAGCCGGGUAAUGUCUUGAGUGAAGUAUCUACACAGUGGUCCCCUUUGCACGACAGACACGUUAUAUCAGAAGGAAGCACUGAAAGCGUGGGUGGACGAUGAAAAUACCAGGAUUCACAGGUUUGCUGCAUAAACUCAGUGGUCCACAAAGGUGCAGGUGGGGCUGAGGAGUCUGCCUUCCUUCCAGCCAGUUUGCUUCAUUAUUCUUACCUCACAUUGACUGCCUGUGGCAUGGAAUUAAUGAAAUUACAGGUUCUGAUUGUAUGCUUUCUCAAACAAAACUUCCACUGAAGCCAAGAGGCAUUACGAGUGUGUAAGGAAUGCAGGAUUGCAUAUUCUGCCUCUUGGGCUAUGUGAUGACUUCUUCCUGAUCACUUCCUUUGAGAUCCCCAUGUUCUUGCACACGAUCCUUUGCCGUGAUACCAAAACUUCCUCUGAGUGCUUGGAAGGAAGCAGACAGUAGCGCCGGGACACGAAGCAGGCACGAGACAGGAGCUGGCACAUAGACCUCCAGUUACUGCCUGAGCAGUGCUGCAGAUGUGUCUGUCUAGCUCUGUCCCUUGUUGUCCUGACUUACUGAUUGCCUUCCUACGUGGACCUUGGACCUACGCUACAGGUAGCCUUCUCUCCAGCCCUAUUUCUUGGACAGAUCUUGAACUCGUGGUAUGGGAAGCCCUGUCCCCAGCCCUCUCUCCUGGAUUCCUGGCUGGAUGCCUUGGAUGGGUGCUGGAUGUGGUUGAGUGCCUUGCCGUGCCGGGGACUGGUCACGGACGGUGUCCCAGCCACCCCCGGCCCUGCCGGGGCUGCGAGGCUGCUCCCUGCCAGGGUCGGUGCCUGCCUGUGUCGUGGUCCUCGUCUUUCCUCCUCUGCAGCUGCCCCGCUGGUGCUACUCCCACGGGCGUAGCCGAGGCCAGCAUCCGGGGAUUUCGUGGUGCUUCUCCCUGCAGCUACCAGGUCCAGCGGGGCGAGCUGCUGAGCCAGCAGGGAGGCUGUGCAGCACGGGGGUCCAACAAGUUGUAGCAGAGCUGAGGAUUGACAAAGCUUUCCUUCCUUUCCAAAUCCUAGCAUCUAGUUUCAUCCUUCUUUUAAGUGCAUUCAAAGCCUGUUUGCUGCUUUUGCGUUUACAGGCUACUGUAAAGUGCAUUUAAAAAAAAAUUAAGAGACCAUAUUCAUCUCUUUCCUUGGUGCUGCCUAAUUUCACUGAGCAGCUUGGUAAGAGCACACCCUCAGAUGGGCCUAGCUUCCUAUGUGCACCUUUGUAGGCUAUUAACCUUCUUAACUCCCAGGAAGGUGGUACAGAUUCAUGCCAGUUAGCAAUAUCUUUCUUGAAGUAUAAUGUCUUUGAAUACACAGUCAUGCAGUAGAAAUAAAAACAUUUAUUUUUUACAGCACUUCAAGACUCCUUUUACAACUCUGGGAGUGUGUAUUUACAUAAUAUGUUGGGUGUAGUCAAAGACAUUCAGUAGGAAUUUGGCCCCAAUCCUGCAGUUAAUAAAAGGAAGGUGUGGGAGUCUGCCCGUGUAGAGUCACUACAAGCUUUCAAGGGUAAACAAAAUACUUUCUUACCGAGCACUGCACAUUUUUUUUGUUUUUUGAUUUUAGUUGUAGUCUGAAGCGCCAGCUGCUUAUAAAUCAUGAGGAGGACAAUAUUAGAUUAUGAUGAUGUAUUCUGCAGUGCAUAGCUUAGUUAAUCUCUAAGUGAGCAUUCAAAUGCAGCGUUCGGGGGACAGCCUUUGCAUUUUUAAGUAUAGCUGAUCUUCUUUCCUAACCAAUAUAAAUCUGAAAGCUAGAAAUACUGAAGAACAGUAAGGUUUUAUACUAGCUUAUAAAGUAUAAAACAUGCCAGUACAUUUAUUAUAUAACAUUUUCUCCCAAGGUUUUCUGUUCCUUAUUGAAUGUUAAACAAGCAACAUUGUACUUCUAUAAAUUAAAAAGGAGGACUAUGCAAACGUGUUUUUAAAGCACAUAAUACUCUACAAUAUUGUCUUGGUUUCAUGCUUCCAUAUACACAAAUACAGGCACCCACACUACCAUACACACAUGGUCAUAGCUAUGUGAGACCACAUGAAUAUUUUAAAGAAUAUUCCAGCACUAGAAGUAAUUGCAGAUGUUCUUAUUAUAUGCCCAUAAAAUGUAUGAAGUUGCUAUAAUCAGUCUCUGACUCUUUUAAGCACUAUCAGAACUUGUAUGACGAAUUCUGCCUUUUAUCUGUCUUCGGAUAAUCAUAUGAAAACUAGGUACACAGGCAUGCCUAGCUGAUAAUGUAAUUACUUGGGUAAAUCUGAGUGGGUAGGCAGCUGGAUUUUCUUCAGUCAGUUCUUCCUGACCGCUGCCUUUGAAGCUGCGAUCCUUUCCAGCCAAGCCGGAUCUCCACUUCCAAACUCACAUUAAUGCCACGAUAAGAGACUCACAGCAGAAAUGGCUGCGCUGCUCGGAGGUUUUCCUCGCUCCUGCAGCCACACUGGUGGAGCAGAUCAGGGGAAGUCUUCUCCUUUGCUCCAGCGCAAAGUCUGUGGCUUUCCAGGAUAAUUUAAACCAACCCGAGCUGUCUUGUAUGACAUAAGGAAAGUUCACAUGUCUUUUUCUCAGCUCAGCUCUGGACACAGCAUCUUUCACGACAUUGGUGGUCACAAACAUCUGAUGACCGGCAAUGCUUCUUGCCUCAAGACUGAAUUUGGAUACACAGUGUGUUCUGGAGUGCAGACGGGAGGAAGAGGAGAGAGGAGACAAGAUGGGGUGAUAUGGUCUCCAUCUGCUGCAGGCUUCACCUCCUUCAGAUGAGCAGGAGUGGUCCUGGAGCCCGGGGGAGCCAGCAGGUACCUGCAGGCAUACAGACAGCAGGGUCUGGGUCCUGCACUGUGGUUUCACGUGCCCAAUGCUCUGCAGAGCGUUUAAAGCUCUUUCUUUUCUGUUUAAAUAAUCAACUGCAAAUGUCACCUUCUUUAUGAUUAGUGAAAAUGCAAGAGAGUGAAGGCUAAUAAAACCCUAAUUUUUCUUCA